UACGUAGGGUGCGAGCGUUAAUCGGAAUUACUGGGCGUAAAGCGUGCGCAGGCGGUUUUGUAAGCCAGGUGUGAAAUCCCCGGGCUCAACCUGGGAAUGGCAUUUGGGACUGCAAGGCUGGAGUGCGGCAGAGGAGACUGGAAUUCCUGGUGUAGCAGUGAAAUGCGUAGAUAUCAGGAGGAACACCGGUGGCGAAGGCGGCCUGCUGGGCAGUUACUGACACUGAGGCGCGACAGCGUGGGGAGCAAACAGG
rnacentral:rRNA from 1 species